rnacentral:rRNA from 1 species
GGCCUCUGAUACAAGCUUUCGCCUUAAGAUGAGCCCAUGGCCCAUCAGCUAGUUGGUAGGGUAAAGGCCUACCAAGGCUACGACGGGUCGCUGGUCUGAGAGGACGACCAGCCACACUGGCACUGAGAUACGGGCCAGACUCCUACGGGAGGCAGCAGUGAGGAAUAUUGCGCAAUGGGGGAAACCCUGACGCAGCAACGCCGCGUGUGGGAAGAAGGCCUUCGGGUCGUAAACCACUUUUGCACGGGACGAAAAAGGGNUAUCGAACAAAUAUCCCCGAUGACGUACCGUGAGAUAAGCCACGGCUAACUCUGUGCCAGCAGCCGCGGUAAGACAGAGGUGGC